GAUGAACGCUGGCGGCGUGCCUAAUACAUGCAAGUCGAGCGAACGGACGAGAAGCUUGCUUCUCUGAUGUUAGCGGCGGACGGGUGAGUAACACGUGGAUAACCUACCUAUAAGACUGGGAUAACUUCGGGAAACCGGAGCUAAUACCGGAUAAUAUUUUGAACCGCAUGGUUCAAAAGUGAAAGACGGUCUUGCUGUCACUUAUAGAUGGAUCCGCGCUGCAUUAGCUAGUUGGUAAGGUAACGGCUUACCAAGGCAACGAUGCAUAGCCGACCUGAGAGGCGGAUAGGCCACACUGGAACUGGGCCGCGGUCCAUACUCCUACGGGACGCAGCAGUAGGGAAUGUUACGCAGUGGUCGAAAGCCUGGCGGAGCAACGCCGCGUGAGUGAUGAAGGCCUUCGGAUCGUAAAGCUCUGUUAUUAGGGAUGAACAUAUGUGUAAGUAACUGUGCACAUCUUGACGGUACCUAAUCAGAAAGCCACGGCUAACUACGUG
rnacentral:rRNA from 1 species